rnacentral:rRNA from 1 species
UACGUAGGGGGCAAGCGUUGUCCGGAGUUACUGGGCGUAAAGCGCACGCAGGCGGUCUCUUAAGUUUGGAGUGACAGUUGGUGGCUUAACUGCCAAAGUGCUUCGAAAACUGAGAGACUUGAGGGCUUCAGAGGGACACGGAAUUCCGGGUGGAGUGGUGAAAUGCGUAGAGAUCCGGAGGAACACCAAAGGCGAAGGCGGGUCUCUGGGCCGAUACUGACGCUGAGGAGCGAAAGCGUGGGGAGCGAACAGG